AACGAACGCUGGCGGCAUGCCUAACACAUGCAAGUCGAACGAGACCUUCGGGUCUAGUGGCGCACGGGUGCGUAACGCGUGGGAAUCUGCCCUUGGGUUCGGAAUAACAGUGAGAAAUUACUGCUAAUACCGGAUGAUGUCUUCGGACCAAAGAUUUAUCGCCCAGGGAUGAGCCCGCGUAGGAUUAGCUAGUUGGUGGGGUAAUGGCCUACCAAGGCGACGAUCCUUAGCUGGUCUGAGAGGAUGAUCAGCCACACUGGGACUGCGACACGGCCCAGACUCCUACGGGAGGCAGCAGUAGGGAAUAUUGGACAAUGGGCGCAAGCCUGAUCCAGCAAUGCCGCGUGAGUGAUGAAGGCCUUAGGGUUGUAAAGCUCUUUUACCCGGGAUGAUAAUGACAGUACCGGGAGAAUAAGCUCCGGCUAACUCCGU
rnacentral:rRNA from 1 species